rfam:Oryza punctata chromosome 4, whole genome shotgun sequence.
UUUAAGUGCGGUUAUGAGGUUUUCUAUCCAAUAUUUGACCGUCUAUCUUAUUUGAAUUUUUUUAUGAAUAAUACUUUUAUUGUUAUUAGAUGAUAAAACAUAAAUAGUACUUUAUGCGUGACUUAUUUUUUAAUUUUUUCAUAAAUUUAUUAAAAUAAGACGAACGUUCGAACGUUGGAUAUGGAAACCCACAACUGUGCUUGAA